GUGAACAUACCUACAACUGUUGUUUCGGCGGGUAGGCCGUCCCCUGAAAAGGACGCUCCCGGCCCGGAACGGACCCCCUCGCGGGGCCCGGACCCGGCGCCCGCCGGAGGAUAACCAAACUCUAUUUUAACGACGUUUCUUCUGAGUGGCAUAAGCAAAAUAAUCAAAACUUUUAACAACGGAUCUCUUGGUUCUGGCAUCGAUGAAGAACGCAGCGAAAUGCGAUAAGUAAUGUGAAUUGCAGAAUUCAGUGAAUCAUCGAAUCUUUGAACGCACAUUGCGCCCGCCAGCAUUCUGGCGGGCAUGCCUGUUCGAGCGUCAUUUCAACCCUCAAGCUCUGCUUGGUGUUGGGGCCCCACGGUCGACGUGGGCCCUCAAAGGUAGUGGCGGACCCUCCCGGAGCCUCCUUUGCGUAGUAACAUUUCGUCUCGCACUGGGAUCCGGAGGGACUCUUGCCGUAAAACCCCCCAAUUUUUCAAGGUUGACCUC
rnacentral:rRNA from 1 species